GGAGAGAUGCCGGAGUGGUUGAACGGGGCGGUCUCGAAAACCGUUGUGCCCUUUCAGGGUACCCAGGGUUCGAAUCCCUGUCUCUCCGC
rnacentral:tRNA from 1 species